rnacentral:lncRNA from 1 species
CCCUGAGUCACCCCCGGCGCCCCGCGCCCGUCCGGAAGCCCCGGCCCCUCCCUCUGCCUGCCGGACCGGGGAGGGGCCGGGAACUUUCCGGGCCGCCGCCCCGCCCUCCGCGGCUAAGCCGGGCGCGCGGGGCCGGUCGCGCUGUCUCGCGAGCGGCGCGGGGAACGGAGCUGCGGCCGGAGUCCGGCAGAGCGCGGCCGCUCUGAACCGUCUGUGGCACAUGCGUGGCCCCUUCAGGCGGCACGGGACAGGCCCAUCGACGGGACCGGUGGACUGGUGGUCAUCGUGUCAACACCCAGGUCCCCAAAAGGAAAAAGAGGCAUGGAAGGCGAGGGCAGUAUGGGGCGUGGUGAAUAUCCACUGGCUCAGAGCCUCACUAUGAGUCCAGGCUGGCCUCUCACUCCUGUCAAUUCUCCUGCCUCAGCCUCCUGAGUGCUGGGACUACAAGCAUGCACCACCAUGCCUGGUUUAAUUAAAGAAAAUCUUAAUGGAUGAUUCUGGUCUUAUUGAGAUGAAGUCCCUAUUUUAAUUUUUGCUGUUCAUGUUUAAUUUG